UCCCUGGUGGCUCAGAUGGUAAAGAAUCUGCCUGCAAUGCAGGAGUCCCAGGUUCAAUCCCUGGGUGGGGAA
rnacentral:tRNA from 1 species